rnacentral:snoRNA from 1 species
AAGGUUGAUGAGGACGACAUCGUCUCUCAUAUUCUGGCGGGACUCGAAGAAGACUUCGAUCCUGUGGUGUCCACCAUGUGCUCACGGGUGGAGCCGGUCACCGUCGCCGAGCUAUUCGCACAACUUCUCAGCUUCGAGA